rnacentral:rRNA from 1 species
GGCGGCGUGCUUAACACAUGCAAGUCGAGCGGAAAGGCCCUUCGGGGUACUCGAGCGGCGAACGGGUGAGUAACACGUGAGUAACCUGCCCUAGGCUUUGGGAUAACCCUCGGAAACGGGGGCUAAUACCGGAUAUUCAUGUCGUGUGGCAUCACAUGGUGUGGAAAGUUUUUCGGCUUGGGAUGGGCUCGCGGCCUAUCAGCUUGUUGGUGGGGUGAUGGCCUACCAAGGCGACGACGGGUAGCCGGCCUGAGAGGGCGACCGGCCACACUGGGACUGAGACACGGCCCAGACUCCUACGGGAGGCAGCAGUGGGGAAUAUUGCACAAUGGGCGGAAGCCUGAUGCAGCGACGCCGCGUGAGGGAUGAAGGCCUUCGGGUUGUAAACCUCUUUCGACAGGGACGAAGCGUGAGUGACGGUACCUGGAGAAGAAGCGCCGGCCAACUACGUGCCAGCAGCCGCGGUAAGACGUAGGGCGCGAGCGUUGUCCGGAUUUAUUGGGCGUAAAGAGCUCGUAGGCGGCUUGUUGCGUCAGCUGUGAAAACCCGCAGCUCAACUGUGGGCUUGCAGCUGAUACGGGCAGGCUUGAGUUCGGUAGGGGAGACUGGAAUUCCUGGUGUAGCGGUGAAAUGCGCAGAUAUCAGGAGGAACACCGCUGGCGAAGGCGGGUCUCUGGGCCGAUACUGACGCUGAGGAGCGAAAGCGUGGGGAGCGAACAGGAUUAGAUACCCUGGUAGUCCACGCUGUAAACGUUGGGCGCUAGGUGUGGGGGGCCUCUCCGGUUCUCUGUGCCGCAGCUAACGCAUUAAGCGCCCCGCCUGGGGAGUACGGCCGC